rnacentral:rRNA from 1 species
GAUGAACGCUGGCGGCGUGCCUAAUACAUGCAAGUCGAGCGAACGGACGAGAAGCUUGCUUCUCUGAUGUUAGCGGCGGACGGGUGAGUAACACGUGGAUAACCUACCUAUAAGACUGGGAUAACUUCGGGAAACCGGAGCUAAUACCGGAUAAUAUUUUGAACCGCAUGGUUCAAAAGUGAAAGACGGUCUUGCUGUCACUUCUAGAUGGAUCCGCGCUGCAUUAGCUAGUUGGUAAGGUAACGGCUUACCAAGGCAACGAUGCAUAGCCGACCUGAGAGGGUGAUCGGCCACACUGGAACUGAGACACGGUCCAGACUCCUACGGGAGGCAGCAGUAGGGAAUCUUCCGCAAUGGGCGAAAGCCUGACGGAGCAACGCCGCGUGAGUGAUGAAGGUCUUCGGAUCGUAAAACUCUGUUAUUAGGGAAGAACAUAUGUGUAAGUAACUGUGCGCAUCUUGACGGUACCUAAUCAGAAAGCCACGGCUAACUACGUG